rnacentral:rRNA from 1 species
ACCUUGAAUACAGCCAGUCUCCUCUGAUCUUGGAUGCUAAGCAAGGUC